rnacentral:rRNA from 1 species
GACGAACGCUGGCGGCAUGCCUAACACAUGCAAGUCGAACGAGACCUUCGGGUCUAGUGGCCCACGGGUGCGUAACGCGUGGGAACCUGCCCUUAGGUUCGGAAUAACUCCCCGAAAGGGGUGCUAAUACCGGAUAAUGUCUUCGGCCCAAAGAUUUAUCGCGCUUGGUUGGGCCCGCGUUGGAUUAGCUGGUUGGGAGGGUAAAAGCCUAUCAAGGCGACGAUCCAUAGCUGGUCUGAGAGACUGAUCAGCAACACUGGGAGUGGGACGCGGCCCAGACUCCUACGCGAGGCAGCAGUGGGGAAUAGUGGACAGUGGGCGAAAGCCUGAUCCAGCAAUGCCGCGUGAGUGAUGAAGGCCUUAGGGUUGUAAAGCUCUUUUACCCGGGAUGAUAAUGACAGUACCGGGAGAAUAAGCUCCGGCUAACUCCGUG